GAUGAACGCUGGCGGCGUGCCUAAUACAUGCAAGUCGAGCGAACAGACGAGGCGCUUGCUCCUCUGUCGUUAGCGGCGCACGGGUGAGUAACAUGUGGAUACCCCACCUAUAUGUCUGGGAUAUCUUCGGGAAUCCGGAGCUAAUCCCGGAUAAUAUACUGAUCCACAUGGUUCAAUAGUGAAAGACGGCUUUGGUGUCACUUAUCGCUGGUUACGCGCCGCAUUAGCUAGUUGGUAAGGUAACGGCUUACCAAGGCAACGAUGCGUAGCCGACCUGAGAGGGGGAUCGGCCACACUGGAACUGAGACACGGUCCAGACUCCUACGGGAGGCAGCAGUAGGGAAUCUUCCGCAAUGGGCGAAAGCCUGACGGAGCAACGCCGCGUGAGUGAUGAAGGUCUUCGGAUCGUAAAACUCUGUUAUUAGGGAAGAACAAAUGUGUAAGUAACUAUGCACGUCUUGACGGUACCUAAUCAGAAAGCCACGGCUAACUACGUG
rnacentral:rRNA from 1 species